rnacentral:lncRNA from 1 species
GACAAUGGCUGACAGACUUGACUGAAGACUGGAAAUGUUUUGCUAUCUCACAGGAAAAGAAGGCCCCUCCUACAACACUGUACUCUAAGGACAGUUUAUUCAGGUGCUUCCUACACAAGAAGUCACAUGACCACAGAGUGUCAUUUGUCAAAGAACCAAGAACUUGUUCAAAACUCUACAGAGCAUCCAAUCUAUCACGUGGAUAUGCAAUAAUGAGAUGAUGCUGGGUCUGGACGUUGCUGGUCUUUAUCUUUCUUGUUGAAGUCAACCAAAUAUUUCUGGUUCAGUGCACAAUCAAGAUGUACCUCCUUGCUCUCCUGCUUCAGUGGGACCAACUUCUUCCUACAUGUGUUCUCCAUCAGGAGCUGGCUGAGCAGGUUUCUGGAAAUACAGUCUGCAUAGUAAGAUCAUGCUGCCCCUUUCUCCCAUUCCUACUCGUAAGUCCCACUAAGUCUACCAGGUCCCAGAUACCCAUGAAGACUUAAUAGAAUUCAUUUCGAUACAUAUAAGGCUGCUGCACAAACCACAAAGAAUAAAUUCCGGGAAGAAUAAAUUGUUUGUUUGGCCCGAGCACCAAUUAGUGUCCACAUCUCUCAAAAAGAACAUGGAUCUACAACUAUCCAUGAAAGCCCAAUGCAUGGGGGCAACAUCAAUUAGUAGUGGGCCAACACCCUCAAAGGAGGUCAGUAGAACCAAGAGAAGGUCAUGCUAACCAUGUGGUCUACACACUGAGUUUUGUAAAACCUGGUAUGACACCAUAGGUCCAGGUCAGCCUAAUAACCUUCUGCUGACUUCAAUCAGUGCUGUUCUAUCUAGAGCCUUCUGAAGAUGCCUAGACAAUCCUGGGAUGAGUAACAGUCUUUUAUGGAACUGAAAACUGAGUCCUAAUGACCCUGGCACACUGAUGUGUAAACAGCACAAGAGAUAGAACCAGAGCUGAAGACCGUCCAAUCCAGAACAAAGAAAGUCAGAAAUGGCCAUUCCACAGGUGAUAGCCUUUCUGACCAGGACUUACCUAGAGAAGAUGCUCCAGUUGUUGUGGCCCAUUGCUAGAAAGGUCAGCUUAAGCCUGCAGCCCCCCUGGCAGGAAGCUCAAAAUACACUGCCCAGAACUUACUCAACAUUCCCCAGAAGUGCUGUCUUUGUCCAUCAUUACUUUGAGACGAAAGGCUAGACUCCUUCACUUUAGUCUCUCCAGAAUCGACAUUCCCCCUCCCAAAACGCUUGCGAAGACGGGAAAACAUGUCUUAGCUUGUAACCGCCAGACUCAGACUGAGAGAAACUAGGGCACUGGUUGUCACUACAACACUGGUGACAUCACAGAGGAUGCCAGAACUCUCUAGGAGACAAUAGAAUGUCCAAGAAGGGACAGCUGAUGUCAUGGGGAGCAGACUUUGCCUCCCUGCUAAUGUUCUCCCUGUACUGAGCAUAAGCAGAGGUGCCCUUUCCAGGAG